GCCACUAUGGCCGAGUGGUCUAAGGCGGCGCACUUAAGUUCCCUGGGACUGAUCUGCGUUAUCGAAAGAUGCGUGCGUUCGAACCGCACUGGUGGCA